GAAGUGGUGAGGAUAGACAUGCAUAGCUUAGGACUUGUUUCAAGUAUGACGUCGAAUAGAGCUGAUUGGAGGGCAAGGAUCCAAGUAGCCGACCCCAGCUAGUUGGAAUAAUGCUGAGUUGUAGUUGUAAUUGUCAUGUUCUUUUUCUUUUUACUAUUGUUAUUAAUAUUUUGUCUUUGCUAGAAUCCACGUAGCCGACCCCAUUUAGUUGGAAUAAGGCUGAGUUGUUGUUGUUGGUGUUGUUGCUUUUGUUUUGCUUUCCC